rnacentral:rRNA from 1 species
AUUGAACGCUGGCGGCAGGCUUAACACAUGCAAGUCGAACGAGUGGCGGACGGGUGAGUAAUGCUUGGGAAUCUAGCUUAUGGAGGGGGAUAACUACGGGAAACUGUAGCUAAUACCGCGUACCAUAGGAUGAGCCCAAGUGGGUUUAGGUAGUUGGUGAGGUAAAGGCUCACCAUGCCGAAGAGCUCUAGCUGGUCUGAGAGGAUGACCGUCCAGCCGGGGACUGCGACACGGCCCAGACUCCUACGGGAGGCAGCAGUGGGGAAUAUUGCACAAUGGGCGCAAGCCUGAUGCAGCCAUGCCGCGUGUGUGAAGAAGGCCUGCGGGUUGUAAAGCACUUGCAGCGAGGAGGCGUUACUCACAGAAGAAGCACCGGCUAACUCCGUGCCAGCCGCCGCGGUAAUUC